GCCCUGAGAUUGGCUCAGUGUCAGAGCGUGGUGCUAAUGACACCAAGGUUCUGGGGUCAAUCCCCAUAUGGGUCA